rnacentral:rRNA from 1 species
AUAUCAGUCAUGCAUAGCAUAUCAAUAAGCGGAGGAAAAGAAACUAACAAGGAUUCCCUUAGUAACGGCGAGUGAAGCGGGAAGAGCUCAAAUUUGAAAUCUUCAAGGUUCUACCUUGACGAAUUGUAGUUUAUAGAAGUGUUUUCUGUUAGUGGAGUGGCAAAAGUUCUUUGGAAUAGGACAUCAUAGAGGGUGAGAAUCCCGUAUUUGGUCAUUCCUCCUAGCGUUGUGAUACACUUUCAACGAGUCGGAUUGUUUGGGAAUGCAGACCAAAAUGGGUGGUAAAUUUCAUCUAAAGCUAAAUAUUGGCGAGAGACCGAUAGCGAACAAGUACCGUGAGGGAAAGAUGAAAAGAACUUUGAAAAGAGAGUUAAACAGUACGUGAAAUUGUCAAAAGGGAAGCGUUUGACACCAGUGUUGUUUUUCCGAAAAUCAAUUACGAAUGUUUUAUUUUUGAGGAGUUAUGACUUCAUCGGCUUGCUUCUCUCCUUACGAAACUUUCUUAAUGCACUUUUCGGUUAACAAGUCAACAUCAAUUUCUUUUGUUGUAAAAGGGUAUGAGGAAGGUGGCUUUCUUCUCGGAGAGAGUGUUUAUAGCCUUGUACCUCUGCAAUCGGAGAGAUUGAGGUCUGCAGCGUAGAUCCUUCGGGGUUAGAUACAUUUGUGCUAAGUUAUAGCUUUCAUAGACAACUUGUUGACUAUGAUUAGUCAUUGUAGCUUACUCGCUUAUGCUAUUUUACCUACGCUUAGGAUGUUGAUCUCUCACAGUCGAGC